AUGGUUUCAGGAUGAUUCAAGUGCAUUACAUUUAUUGUGUACGUUAUUUCUAUUAUUAUUACACUGUAAUAUAUAAUGCAAUAAUUAUACAACUCUCCAUAAUAUACAAUCA